UGACCGCUAGCUCCCUUAUUGUUUAUUUGACGCUGACGUCACUUGAGCUGUACGCGCCGGAAGUUGUUUAGAUGCAAGCUUCCUUCCGUCUAGACAGACGGCGCAAAAAGCGAUCGCUGUGUUUCACCCAACACGUGCCAAACGAGCUAGCUUUGCCUUGUGUGACAGUGGGCUAACGCUAACGUUUUGAAGUUGCAGUUUGCACCCUUGGCAAGUGAAGCGAGUUUUCACGGUGCUUAUGAAUGGUGCUGGUGGCGUCCAGAAUCUUCCUGCACGCUCCAGAUGUAAACCAAUAAAUGCUGCACCCGUCAGAAGCUUUCUUCUUCCUUUAUUGAUGCCAAGGGCU